rnacentral:rRNA from 1 species
AGGAUGAACGCUGGCGGCGUGCCUAACACAUGCAAGUCGAACGUCCUGUCUCGCAAGAGGCAGGGAGUGGCGGACGGGUGAGUACCACGUGGGUCAUCUACCGUGAGGUGAGGAAUACCGGCGAGAAAUCGCCGACAAGACCGCAUAGGCUCGAUGCAAGUCGAGCAAAGCUCUUUCGAGAGAGGGAGCGCCACACGAGGAGCCUGCGCCCGAUUAGCUAGCUGGUGGAGUAACGGUUCACCAGGGCGACGAUCGGUAGCUGGUCUGAGAGGACGAUCAGCCACACUGGAUUGAGAACGGCCCAGACUCCUACGGGGGGCAGCAGUGAGGAAUUUUCGUCAAUGGGGGCAACCCUGAACGAGCAACGCCGCGUGCAGGAAGAAGGUUUCGGAUCGUAACUGCUUUUCUCGGGAAGAGAACGGACGGUACCCGAGGAAUCGAGCCCCGGCUAACGUACGUGCCAGCAGCCGCGGU